GACGAACGCCGGCGGCGUGCCUAACACAUGCAAGUCGAGGGAGAAAAGGGGCUUCGGCUCCCGAGUAAACCGGCGCACGGGUGAGUAACACGUAGGUAACGUACCCUGGAGUCCGGGAUAACCAGUCGAAAGACUGGCUAAUACCGGAUACGACUACGAGGUCUCUGGACUUUGUAGUGAAAGAUGGCCUCUAUUUAUAAGCUAUCGCUCCUGGAUCGGCCUGCGCACCAUUAGCUAGUUGGUGAGGUAACGGCUCACCAAGGCUGAGAUGGUUAGCUGGUCUGAGAGGAUGGCCAGCCACACUGGGACUGAGACACGGCCCAGACUCCUACGGGAGGCAGCAGUGGGGAAUCUUGCGCAAUGGGCGAAAGCCUGACGCAGCGACGCCGCGUGA
rnacentral:rRNA from 1 species